rnacentral:rRNA from 1 species
UACGUAGGGGGCUAGCGUUGUCCGGAAUCAUUGGGCGUAAAGAGCGCGUAGGCGGCCAGAUAAGUCCGGUGUGAAAGUCACAGGCUCAACCUGUGAAUGCCGCUGGAAACUGUCUGGCUAGAGUCCGGAAGGGGCGAGUGGAAUUCCUGGUGUAGCGGUGAAAUGCGCAGAUAUCAGGAGGAACACCAAUAGCGAAGGCAGCUCGCUGGGACGGUACUGACGCUGAGGCGCGAAAGCUAGGGGAGCAAACGGG